rnacentral:rRNA from 1 species
UGGGGAAUAUUGCACAAUGGACGGAAGUUUGAUGCAGCGACGCCGCGUGGAGGGUGUAGGCCUUCGGGUUGUGAACUCCUUUUUCUCGCGAAAAAGGCACAGUGUUGGCUGUGUUGAUGGUAGUGGGGGAAGAAGCGCCGGCUAACUACGUGCCAGCAGCCGCGGUAAUACGUAGGGCGCGAGCGUGGUCCGGGUGUAUUGGGCGUGAAGAGCUCGUAGGUGGUUCGUCGCGUCUGUCGUGAAAGCCAGCAGCUUAACUGUUGGUCUGCGGUGGGUACGGGAGGGCGUGAGUGCGGUAGGGGUGACUGGAAUUCCUGGUGUAGCGGUAGAAUGCGCAGAUAUCAGGGGGAACACCGAUGGCGAAGGCAGGUCACUGGGCCGUUACUGACACUGAGGAGCGAAAGCGUGGGGAGCGAACAGG